rnacentral:rRNA from 1 species
AACGAACGCUGGCGGCGUGGAUAAGACAUGCAAGUCGAACGCUAAUUCAAGGGUAGCAAUAUUCUUGAGUUGGAGUGGCGCAAGGGUGCGUAACGCGUGGGUAAUUUGCCGUGAAGCUCGGAAUAACUCGCUGAAAGGCGAGCUAAUACCGGAUGUGAUUUUUGGAAGGCAUCUUCUGAAUCUUAAAGCUGGGGACCGCAAGGCCUGGCACUUCACGAUAAGCCCGCGACCUAUCAGCUAGUUGGUGAGGUAAAGGCUCACCAAGGCUAAGACGGGUAGCUGGUCUGAGAGGACGACCAGCCACACUGGAACUGAGAGACGGUCCAGACACCUACGGGUGGCAGCAGUCGAGAAUUUUCUCAAUGGGCGAAAGCCUGAAGGAGCGACGCCGCGUGGGGGAUGAAUGGCUUCGGCCGUAAACCCCUGUCAUUUGCGACAAACCUUUUCAUUAAACAGAUGAAGAGCUGAUUGUAGCGAAAGA